CUACGGGUUGCUGCAGUGAGGAAUAUUGCACAAUGGGGGGAACCUUGAUGCAGCAACGCCGCGUGGAGGAUGACGCAUUUCGGUGUGUAAACUCCUUUUAUAUGUCAAGAAAAUGACGGUAGCAUAUGAAUAAGCACCGGCUAACUCCGUGCCAGCAGCCGCGGUAAUACGGAGGGUGCAAGCGUUACUCGGAAUCACUGGGCGUAAAGGACGCGUAGGCGGGCUUGUAAGUCAGGUGUGAAAUCCUACAGCUUAACUGUAGAACUGCACUUGAAACUACGAGCCUAGAGUAUGGGAGGGGCAGAUGGAAUUAGUGGUGUAGGGGUAAUAUCCGUAGAUAUCACUAGGAAUACCGAAAACGAAGGCGAUCUGCUGGAACAUUACUGACGCUAAGGCGUGAAAGCGUGGGGAGCAAACGGGAUUAGAUACCCGCGUAGUC
rnacentral:rRNA from 1 species